UUCGCCCCGGCCCCCCCCCGCGCCCGUCCCGCCGCCCCCGCCCGCCUACGGGGAGGCAGCAGGGGGGAAUAUUGCACAAUGGGCGAAAGCCUGAUGCAGCAACGCCGCGUGAGGGAUGACGGCCUUCGGGUUGUAAACCUCUUUUAGCAGGGAAGAAGCGAAAGUGACGGUACCUGCAGAAAAAGCGCCGGCUAACUACGUGCCAGCAGCCGCGGUAAUACGUAGGGCGCAAGCGUUAUCCGGAAUUAUUGGGCGUAAAGAGCUCGUAGGCGGUUUGUCGCGUCUGCUGUGAAAUCCCGAGGCUCAACCUCGGGCCUGCAGUGGGUACGGGCAGACUAGAGUGCGGUAGGGGAGAUUGGAAUUCCUGGUGUAGCGGUGGAAUGCGCAGAUAUCAGGAGGAACACCGAUGGCGAAGGCAGAUCUCUGGGCCGUAACUGACGCUGAGGAGCGAAAGGGUGGGGAGCAAACAGGCUUAGAUACCCUGGUAGUCCACCCCGUAAACGUUGGGAACUAGUUGUGGGGACCAUUCCACGGUUUCCGUGACGCAGCGCACGCACUAAGUCGCACCUGCCUCAGCCUCUGAGAUCUGU
rnacentral:rRNA from 1 species